rnacentral:lncRNA from 1 species
CACAUUCGAAGAGGAGAGUUUGCCCUCAGUACAAUUGGAUCUGGCUGCCUGAGCCCUGGGCUUCGCAAAAGCAGAGAAAAAUGAACCCACAGAACUUCGAUAAGUCCCAAUCCAUUAACUCUGAACUCCAGCAAGUUACUUAACAUCUCAGGUUUAGAGGUCUCUGCAGAAAAAUAAAAGUACUGACCAGCUCCCAGGGUUAUGAGGAUUUGCUAGAUUACCUCCACAAAGCUCUCAGUGCUCACCUGGCCAAACAAGCUUAAAUAAACAGUGGCAAGUAUUAUUACUUUGUUUUUAAUCAUUAUUAUUUUAUUUUUGCAGCACUGAGGAUUGAACCCCAGGGAACUUUACCACUGAGCUAUAUCCCCAUCCCUUUUUGUAUUUUAUUCUAAUAAAGGGACUCACUAAAUUUCCCAGGCUGACCUUGAACUUGUGAUCCUCCAACCUCAGCCUCUGGAGCCCUGAGAUUAUAUGUGUGUGUCACUGCCAUUGCAGGUAGCAAUACCGAUUAUUUUUUUUUAAUUUCCACAUUUUGUAUUGGUGCAUUUAGUUGUACAUAAUGAUGGGAUUUGUUGUUACAUAUUUGUACGUUCACACAAUGUAACAAUAUAAUACGACCAAUAUCACUCCCCAACAAUUUCCCCUUCUUUCUCCUCUUCCUUUUCCUGGGUCUCUUUCCUCUACUAAUCUCCCUUUAAUUUUCACAAUAUACCCCCCAGCAUCACCACCUUUUUUUUUCCUUUUCCCUCUCUUGCUACCCACAUAUGAGAGGAAAUAUAUGGCCCCUGACCUUCUGAG